UACGGAGGAUCCGAGCGUUAUCCGGAUUUAUUGGGUUUAAAGGGAGCGUAGGCGGGUUGUUAAGUCAGUUGUGAAAGUUUGCGGCUCAACCGUAAAAUUGCAGUUGAUAUUGGCAUCCUUGAGUACAGUAGAGGUAGGCGGAAUUCGUGGUGUAGCGGUGAAAUGCUUAGAUAUCACGAAGAACUCCGAUUGCGAAGGCAGCCUGCUGGACUGUAACUGACGCUGAUGCUCGAAAGUGUGGGUAUCAAACAGG
rnacentral:rRNA from 1 species